AAAAGUUAGAAUUUGGGCUACAAAUCUCGCUGAGCAGCAUCGAAAUGGACCAAAAAUUACAAAAUUCAAAAUCGAGUGUCAGCUUGCAUACGAAAAGGCAAGGAUAAAGUGUUGCUGCUAUCUUUACACACACUCAAGAGUCUGAGCGAUCCAUAACCCUCAAGGACCUAGUAGAAAAAGUCUGUUCAUGCCUGCUCUAGAACACGUCGCAGCGAAAGCUAGCGAAGCAAUGAGCUGCUUUCGCUGAUCGCCACACUAUACUUAAAUAAUGUUCGUCGCCUUCGUGUGAAUGCCCUCAGAACCCGAACGAGAGGAGUACCCGAAGCAUCUGAAUUUUCAAGCAGCCACUUGUCAGUCGAUGUGACGUUUCUAUGUAUUGUCUGCGUGGUGCUUAUUGGCUAACCACACAGAGCAAAAUCUUCUGGGACCCAGGGGAAUUUUUCAAAGAUGUGAAACGAUGUUAAAAUAGUCAAUAUAAUAUCAUAUUUUUGUAUGUAGCAAUUAUAUUUAAACAUUAAUCAACCUAUUGAAAGGAUAUAAAACAUUGACUUGUAAAGGUAUGAAUUAAUAAUAGCACUGAAUUAGAAUCUAUAACAUAAACAUGGAACUGGUUUUAGCAGAUAAUAAAUAACAUUAAAUAUUA